ACCUUGAUUCUGGCUCGGGACGAACGCUGGCGGCGCGCCUAACACAUGCAAGUCGAGCGGGAAGCUUUUUAAGGAUUCUUCGGAUGAAUUAAAAAGUGGAGAGCGGCGGACGGGUGAGUAACGCGUGAGAAACCUGCCCUAUACAGGGGGAUAGCCAUUGGAAACGAUGAUUAAUACCCCAUAUGACCACAGUAUCGCAUGAUACAGCGGUGAAAACUCCGGUGGUAUAGGAUGGUCUCGCGUCUGAUUAGCUAGUUGGUGGGGUAACGGCCUACCAAGGCGACGAUCAGUAGCCGGCCUGAGAGGGUGACCGGCCACACUGGAACUGAGACACGGUCCAGACUCCUACGGGAGGCAGCAGUGGGGAAUAUUGCACAAUGGGCGAAAGCCUGAUGCAGCGACGCCGCGUGAACGAUGAAGGCUUUCGAGUCGUAAAGUUCUGUUCUUGGGGAAGAUAACGACGGUACCCAAGGAGAAAGCACCGGCUAAAUACGUGCCAGCAGCCGCGGUA
rnacentral:rRNA from 1 species